AUUAAUAAGCGGAGGAAAAGAAACCAACCGGGAUUCCCCGAGUAAGGGCGACUGAAACGGGAAAAGCCCAGCGCAUAACCUCGCGGUCCUUGUUUGGCCGUCGAGGGGUGUUGCGUUCCGGUGGAUCCGUCCCGCUCGAGCCGCUUACCGCCUAAGUCAUUGCUUGAAAGCAGCCCCAGGGAGGGUGAUAGGCCCGUGUGGCGGCGCCUGUAAAAAGGGUGAAGGCGGCCCGGGCGGAGGGAUCUUCACCGUAGAGUCGGGUUGCUUAGUACUGCAGCCCUAAGCAGGUGGUAAACUCCAUCUAAGGCUAAAUACAACCACGAGUCCGAUAGAGAACAAGUACCGUGAGGGAAAGCUGAAAAGGACUUUGAAGAGAGAGUUCAAAAGGACGUGAAACCGUUAGGAGCUUAAACGGGUGGAACCGCGAAGGUCGAACGAGGGGAUUCAGCUCGUGGGCCUCCGGCGAGCAGGGUGCGUUUCAUACGAAUUACCAUGAGAGGACCCGGCGUGAAUUGGAAUUGCCGUGGCCACGCCCCUGCCUCCGGAGUGCCUGUGGGCUUACUUCUCCCUCUAGUAGGUCGCCGCGACCCGUUGCCUCGGACCCCCAGGGCCGUGCUGGAUUGGUAGCCCGGAUCUCACGGUCCGGGUGAUGACCGGCUGCGGUUCCGACGGGCCCGGGCGACGGUCACUGCCAGGAGGCCGGGCCGGGGUUUACUCCGGUGUUGGCGUCUCGCGGCGUGCAAGGGAUCGGUAAUCCACCCGACCC
rnacentral:rRNA from 1 species